rnacentral:siRNA from 1 species
GUACAAAGAUGAUUGAAAAUAUGG